rnacentral:rRNA from 1 species
AGCGAACGCUGGCGGCAGGCUUAACACAUGCAAGUCGAGCGGGCACUUUCGGGUGUCAGCGGCGGACGGGUGAGUAACGCGUGGGAACGUGCCCUCUGGUUCGGAAUAACUCAGGGAAACUUGAGCUAAUACCGGAUACGCCCUUUUGGGGAAAGGCUUGCUGCCGGAGGAUCGGCCCGCGUCUGAUUAGCUAGUUGGUGAGGUAACGGCUCACCAAGGCGACGAUCAGUAGCUGGUCUGAGAGGAUGAUCAGCCACACUGGGACUGAGACCCGGCCCAGACUCCUACGGGAGGCAGCAGUGGGGAAUAUUGGACAAUGGGCGCAAGCCUGAUCCAGCCAUGCCGCGUGAGUGAUGAAGGCCUUAGGGUUGUAAAGCUCUUUUAUCCGGGACGAUAAUGACGGUACCGGAGGAAUAAGCCCCGGCUAACUUCGUG